GUUCUCGCCCGUCAUAGCAGAAGGGGCUUAGCAAUAGUUCUCACGAUCACACAAUGCUAGGAGAGUAGCCAUGUUUUCUCAAGACCUACGUUUUAAGAGCCACAUCAUCCAAUUGUGACACAGGCGGCGUAGUCUAAGUCUCUUAAACACCGCCGACUGUAUCCUCAUAUACAUCGCUGUUGUGCCUUAGGAAAGAAAAUCCCCCAGCAUAGCAUUGUGCGCAAAAGAAGCACAGCCACCUGCAGAGCAGGACAGACAGGAGGAAGAAUGAAGCCCAUUUAGAGUUCCAGGAAAGGUGUGCAGGAAAGGAAAAGAGCGCCAGACCAGUCCACAAGAGCAGCUCUGCAGCCAUUGUUCACAAGAACCUGGGGCCUCUAGGAGAGCAGAGUGGGGGAAGAGAAAAGGAAAAGGAGGAAAACAACACGUAGAAAAAAAGAGUAUUUCCCUGUCUUUUAUAGACAUCAUUUUUUCAAUGGCCUAAAUUUUCCUAAUUACUCCCUGCUCCAGAUCAUAUACACGACCUUUACAGAUUCUCCUGGUCCCUUAAGGAGCCAAAGGUCAGGCAUGUCCCUCCUCUUCAGUUAAGCAACACAUUGUAUCAAGUAUGGGAGUGCAUGGAUUUUUAGCAACACCUGUGAUUUCUCUCCCUUGAAAAGACUUUUUAUCUGUAGAAGGUAGCAGCAUAACAGAUAACAAUGAAAAGUUCCCAACUCACACCUUCAAAACAGUAGCCCUCCUUCUUCCCAUGUGCCCAGAUGACAUGAUACAUAAAAAUUCUAAUCCCUGUCAUCCAGCUUUUCAAAUAUGGCAACAGUGAACAUUCACUGACCUUUGCUCAUUUUGGGAGGCGGCAGAAGCACCACUUUUUUUUUUUUUUUUUUAGAGAAAUGGGAAAGGUGCAGACAAAAGGGAACAGAAUGGUUUUAUACUCUUGAAUUGGAAGGACAGAGCUUUUCAUCUCAAAAGACAAGAAGAGAUGGGUCAGGUUGGGAUGUGAGUGUAACCUGAGGAAGAGGAAGGGCUGAAGGCAGGUCACCUAAGGAAUUUCCUAGCUAAGCCCUUGGGGGAUGAAGGCCAAGGGCAUCAGAAGCUCAAUGUCCUCAGCUACACAGUGAGGUCAGGAUCAGCCUGAGACACAUCGGACCCUAUCUGAAAUAAGUAAAACCAUGAUGUCCGUGUAGGGCCCUACCUGCCCAAGGACCAGGUAACUCCCAGGAAUGCUGGGAGUUGUAGUUCCAAGGACCCCUCA
rnacentral:sRNA from 1 species